AUCUGUUUGGAAGAGUGUCAAUUGCAGAGUUGGAAAGGGCUCUUUCUAUCUAUAUAAAUUCUGUGUCCUUGACAGUCUCAGCUCCUCUAUCCCAAUUUGGUGAGAUUUUUCAAGAUGAAGAAUUUUGUUCUUCUUGCGUUUUCUGUCCUUCUGCUCUGCACAAUAGCUCAAGGUCUUGUUUGCAACGUUUGUGAAUUGAAAAUAGGCCUCCUGUGUUUUAAACCCAGAGAACCCUGCAGACCUAAGCCUGGCCAGCUAUGUGAGAUGACCGAAGUUUAUUCAGCUGGCCUUCCGUUGUUUAAAAGCUUCGGGUGUGGUGAACAUAGAGAACUCUGCGGCAGGUCUGAGCAGAGGGACACUCUCUUCAGAAGAACCUACAAGCGUAGUUGCUGCGAUACCGACUUAUGCAAUAAGGACUAAGCUGCAACGUCCAAUGUUUAGCACAGCUCGGGAAGGCGGGGGAGAGCGGCAAUGCUGCCAAGGCUGAUCCUGAUGUGGUUUUUUUCUUUUAUUUUUCCCCUCUCGGCUUAAAAGAAACACCCACAUUGUUCUCUCAUCCCCUCGUUCUGUUGUCGUCCCUACCUUACAUUAGAACAUGGUCCUGCCUUCUAACUCUUUGUGAUCAUAAUGGCAGCUCACACCUCAUUUUUUGAGCCCUUUGGAGGAAACGUGGUAAGACCACCCAUUUCCGAGGGCACACUUACAGAAUUUUUCGGAAUAUAAGAUGCGCCUUAGUUUUUGGGGAGGAAAAUAAGAAAAAAAGCUGAUUGGUAGAUUGAUUGGCAUCCCGGAAUACCCCCAAUCAGCUGUUCCUAGAGGUGAAUUUUAGCAACAGGUUCCUUGGUUGUGAGCUCCGUGCCUUGCUUUUUUUUGCUUUUUUUUUUCUGCCUCUGAAAGCCUCCGAAACAGAGCUUCGGAAAAAAAGCCUCUGAAGUUCUGUUUGGGAGUUUCUUUUCUGAAGCUCCAUUUGGGGCUUUUUUUCUAAGCUCCGUUUGGGGCUUUUUUCCUAAACUCCAUUUCUGAUGCUUUUUUUCAGCCUCUGAAAUCUGUGUUUGAGAAGCUGGGUGGGGCUACAUUCGGAGUUUAAGAUGCACCCAGAUUCUCACCCUCUUUUUUGGGGGGGAAAGGUGCACCUUAUACUCUGAAAAAUACGGUAAAUCAUUUUGGGUUGGACUAGAUGACCUACAAGGUCCCUUCCAACUCUGUUAAUCUGAAUCUGCAUUUCAUAAAUUCUAGUUUCUGUUUUGUUCUCCCAUGGUACCUCUCAGGCAUUUUGCUCUUUUUCACUAGUAAUAAUCAUAUCAGCCUUAAGGAACAGAUAGAUUAUGCAAAUUAAGGUUACAAUUUUUUUCUUCUUUCCAUGUAAAGACUGAAAAAAUGGAAGGGUGCCAUUUUUGUCUACAGCAGGGGGAAAAAAUGCUUGAUCAAAAUGAAAAAUGCUUCUUUCAUUUUUGCCACAUCUGAACCUAUGUAAGGAUCAUGUAUAUAAAGACAAGGAUGUGCUGGCUUGCCUUUGCGUUCUGUAUUAUUGCUGUUCUUUUUGUAUAAUGCUCUGAUACUGUAUAGCUUCCUAACCUCUUCAGCUUGAAGGAAUGAAUAAAACUGAUUAAUUGAC